rnacentral:rRNA from 1 species
GAUGAACGCUGGCGGCGUGCUUAACACAUGCAAGUCGAACGGAAAGGCUCCUGCUUGCAGGGGUACUCGAGUGGCGAACGGGUGAGUAACACGUGGAUGAUCUGCCUGCACUUCGGGAUAAGCCUGGGAAACUGGGUCUAAUACCGGAUAGGACGAUGGUUUGGAUGCCAUUGUGGAAAGUUUUUCGGUGUGGGAUGAGCUCGCGGCCUAUCAGCUUGUUGGUGGGGUAAUGGCCUACCAAGGCGUCGACGGGUAGCCGGCCUGAGAGGGUGUACGGCCACAUUGGGACUGAGAUACGGCCCAGACUCCUACGGGAGGCAGCAGUGGGGAAUAUUGCACAAUGGGCGCAAGCCUGAUGCAGCGACGCCGCGUGGGGGAUGACGGCCUUCGGGUUGUAAACUCCUUUCGCUAGGGACGAAGCGCAAGUGACGGUACCUGGAGAAGAAGCACCGGCUAACUACGUG